CUAUCCACAGGUUCCACGCCAUAUUCUUGCUACCACUAGUUCAUAACAGGGAGAUGAGAAACCUGGUAAUUGGCCCCUGAUGAUUUGAAAGGCCUGAGGAAAAUACAUCUUCUAGAACAAUGGAGCAAGACAAAACAUUUUAUCUACUGAACCAAAAACGCUUUACAGUGACAGCCAUUAUUUUCCUGAGAGCUGCAACGGACCCACGACAGAGAUGGAAACCAAGUUUCCAUAAAGUCUUCAGAGUAGGUGCAACUGGUUGCAAUUACUUGAACUGAUACAUUUGGAGCAUGGUAGUGGUGUUCAGCAAUUGCAGUGCACAGGAUGGAAAACCAAUCUUUGGAACAGGUCAUACCUUGAUCAGCUGCACCAGGAAGCAAACAUUUGUCUAAAAGGUUUAAGCUGGGUUUCUAUAGCCUGGGAGGUUGAUCAGGCUCCUGGCUGGCCAAUCCCCUGCAUUGCCUUAAAAGGAUAUUCAAUUUCUGUUUAAGGCCCUGGCAUAUCGCCACAUGUCCCACCCAACCCACGGGACAGUAGAUGUUGAGAAUUGUGUCCUCUGAAUCUACAUGUCCUGCACAUCUAAUGCUAUUCUGGUUCUUACCAUGGUAUUUUCUUUACCAGGAACUGUAGACUAUAAUCCUUACGUAAUGGAGAGAGGGCACUUUAUUUAGCUUAUAGGACCACAACCCUGGUGUUGGCCCAUUGCACUGCCCUCUAUGAAAUUCCUGGGCUAAUCCGACCCCUGGGCUGAUCUGACCUCAGGAUUUGAACCCUGGUCUUGCAAUGAUGCAGCCAACUGUGAGUCAGUGACUUUGCUGUGGGGCCAUAUAGGGGUUGAAAUGUCACCCUUACCUUAAACCUAUCCUUAACCACGAGUGUGGUGCAGACAAGCCUUAUCCUACAUCAGCAUCAGGGCCUAUGCUCCAGUGAGAAACACUUGGCCUAAAAUCCAAACUGGCACCCUUGAAUGCAGGUCAGCUGCCACCCCUUGACAGGGCACCCGUGCUUCCAAUCAGGCUUCGUCAGGGGUAGUGUUAAAGGGCCCCAGAAAAGCAGCUCUGGGCAUGAAGAAGAAGCAGCAGGAGAAACGAGCAGGGUGAUGCUGAACAUUGCAGCUGCCCUCUGUAGAAAGCACUAGAAGAAUAAGGAUAGGAGAAGAAAAGUGCAGAGUUCACCAAAGCCAGGACCACCCCAUGAACAUCUACCAUGUGGCUAUUUUAGGAGAAGCUGCCUCACCACCACCAGUGUUUUGCCUUUGAGUUUUUUAUUGUUUGCUUAAUAAACACAUGCCAGAAACCUGCACCCUUGCACAGUAUUUGUUUCCUUGUGUCUUCUCACUGUUACUCAAGGUUAAUCUAAUGCCUAACCUUAAAUGAUGAUCACAACAUUUAGGUUUGUUUAAAAUUAUACAUUGUUGACUGUGGAAUCUGAUUUUGUGGCUAUAGAAUGUACUGAAACCUUUAUCUACCAUUAUAUAGAGUCUAUAUUGUCCUCUAACCAUAAACCUAAUAUAGCUUGCCACUUCAUGUUAUUUCUUU
ensembl:lncRNA